GAGGGCAAUUUGUUUUUCCUAGAAUCUCAAUGUUUCCCUCGACACGAGGGAAACAUUGAGAUUCUAGGAAAAACAAAACUAUUUCCUGAUUAUAUG